rnacentral:rRNA from 1 species
AUUGAACGCUGGCGGCAGGCCUAACACAUGCAAGUCGAGCGGAUGAAGGGAGCUUGCUCCUGGAUUCAGCGGCGGACGGGUGAGUAAUGCCUAGGAAUCUGCCUGGUAGUGGGGGAUAACGUCCGGAAACGGGCGCUAAUACCGCAUACGACCUGAGGGAGAAAGUGGGGGAUCUUCGGACCUCACGCUAUCAGAUGAGCCUAGGUCGGAUUAGCUAGUUGGUGGGGUAAAGGCCUACCAAGGCGACGAUCCGUAACUGGUCUGAGAGGAUGAUCAGUCACACUGGAACUGAGACACGGUCCAGACUCCUACGGGAGGCAGCAGUGGGGAAUAUUGGACAAAGGGCGAAAGCCUGAUCCAGCCAUGCCGCGUGUGUGAAGAAGGUCUUCGGAUUGUAAAGCACUUUAAGUUGGGAGGAAGGGCAGUAAGUUAAUACCUUGCUGUUUUGACGUUACCAACAGAAUAAGCACCGGCUAACUUCGUG